AUUGAACGCUGGCGGCAUGCCUUACACAUGCAAGUCGAACGGCAGCACGGGAGCAAUCCUGGUGGCGAGUGGCGAACGGGUGAGUAAUAUAUCGGAACGUGCCCAGUAGUGGGGGAUAGCCCGGCGAAAGCCGGAUUAAUACCGCAUACGACCUGUGGGUGAAAGCGGGGGAUCGCAAGACCUCGCGCUAUUGGAGCGGCCGAUAUCAGAUUAGCUAGUUGGUGGGGUAAAGGCCUACCAAGGCGACGAUCUGUAGCUGGUCUGAGAGGACGACCAGCCACACUGGGACUGAGACACGGCCCAGACUCCUACGGGAGGCAGCAGUGGGGAAUUUUGGACAAUGGGCGCAAGCCUGAUCCAGCCAUGCCGCGUGUGGGAAGAAGGGCCUUCGGGUUGUAAACCGAACUUUUGUCAGGAGAACGGCUUCUAUACAGGGGCGUAA
rnacentral:rRNA from 1 species